CAAUAGCGUAUAUUAAAGCUGUUGCGGUUAAAGAGCUCGUAGUUGGAUUUCUGUCAAGGACAACUGGUCCGCCCUCCGGGUGAGCACAUAGUUUGGUCUUGGCAUCUUGCUGGAAGCUGUUGCUGCACUUGGCUGUGUGGCGCAGCGUCCAGCACUUUCACUUUGAGGAAAUUGGAGUGUUUCAAGCAGGCACAUGCCUUUGGACACAGUAGCAUGGAAUAAUUAGAUUGGGCUUUUGCUCCAAUUUGUCGGUUUCUGGAGCUGAGGUGAGAAUUAAUGGGGAUUGUUGGGGGCAUCCGAAUUUAGCCGUCAGAGGUGAAAUUCUUGGAUCUGCUAAAGACGGACAGCUGCGAAAGCGUUUGCCCAGGAUGUUUUCAUUGA
rnacentral:rRNA from 1 species